UGAUCAAUAAGGGAUUAGUCACUCCUAAUAAGGGAAGCGAACAUCCUAUGUGAUCUCAUAGAACGAUGGUUUGGAAGUCUUUGGCCAAAGCAGAAUGAUAAUUAGAAAGGAGUUUUUAAUAUAUCAUCAACUAAAUCAUCAUCUUUAGAUCGAUAUACGUAAAGAUAAGUGAUUGGGUUUGAUAUAUUUUUAUGUCUAUAGCUCAUCUGGGAUGUUGUUUGACUGAAGGAUUGAACUAUACAGAAACUUGCCACUGAAGGA
rnacentral:lncRNA from 1 species